UGGGAAUUUGGACAAUGGGCGAAAGCCUGAUCCAGCAAUGCCGCGUGUGUGAAGAAGGCCUUCGGGUUGUAAAGCACUUUUGUCCGGAAAGAAAUCCUUGGCUCUAAUACAGUCGGGGGAUGACGGUACCGGAAGAAUAAGCACCGGCUAACUACGUGCCAGCAGCCGCGGUAAUACGUAGGGUGCAAGCGUUAAUCGGAAUUACUGGGCGUAAAGCGUGCGCAGGCGGUUUGCUAAGACCGAUGUGAAAUCCCCGGGCUCAACCUGGGAACUGCAUUGGUGACUGGCAGGCUAGAGUAUGGCAGAGGGGGGUAGAAUUCCACGUGUAGCAGUGAAAUGCGUAGAGAUGUGGAGGAAUACCGAUGGCGAAGGCAGCCCCCUGGGCAAUACUGACGCUCAUGCACGAAAGCGUGGGGAGCAAACAGGAUUAGAUACCCUGGUAGUCCACGCCCU
rnacentral:rRNA from 1 species